GCUCCACAAUGCAAUAGUUGGCCAUUUGCAGAGGAGGAGCGUCAUAAAGAGAUGCUUCGCCAAAGACCGGUCUCCCCCUGAGAGACUGACAUCCAUAGGGCCCCUAAAAAUCAGCUGGUAUGUCUGCCGCUGCCAGUAUUAGGACUUUCUGGUGAGCCAAAACCUCACUAAGGAGGUCACAUCUGUGAGAGCUGACAAGCAAUUACAGACCCUGCAGAUUUCAGUCUGAGACCAGUGCCGCAGGUCAGGGG